CUUAAAAAUUAGUUAGUUAAUGCUCUUAUUUUUGUAAUUUUAGAUUUUUGUUUACUAUUAAUAGAAAACUAAAAAAAAAGUGAUAAAACGAAAUCAAAAGAGGACCAAUCAAAAAGUUCUACCUCAUAAGAUUCCUUCCAACAAACUAAUUCAUCCAAUUUCAUUUUACAAUACACGUUUUAUACACCUGCAUGCAUAAACCAUCACACCUCCAGUCGAAUUUUUCUUGCUCACUACUCCACUCUUCUACACUAGAUAUACACUAGCACACAACAAAUACAUAGAGAGAUCAGAGAGUGGAGGGACGACCAAAGAAAAAAAAAAACAAAGAAUCAUCAUCACCUUCAUCUCCAAACACACAGAAAUGGAAAUACCUACACAACACCAAAAAAAAAAAAAAAAACCAACUACAUCGUCCCAUUUUUUCCGGUCACCUUCAUCACCGCCCCCCCAACUACAUCUAUCACCCAUAUCAUCACCACCACCGUAUAUCACCUUCAAACCACCACCAACGCACCACUGUUCCAACACCAUACAACCACCCAAAACCGCCUCCACCAUAAACCCCAUUUUCGCCACUGGCCAACAACCUUUUUCCCGUUCACCACCCUAUUUCCACCAACCAAACACCACCGUGACCCACCCUGUUGACUACCCUUUUCCCACCAACAAAACCGAUGCCUACCUCCCCUAUUUUUUAUUUAAAAAACCCCCAUCUGAAACACACUCGAAAUAGCCCGAAAUAGUUUUGAAAACCACCCCGAAACCAUCAACUUUUCGAAUCUAUUUUUUUACCUUAAUUUUUCGGUUCGAAUUUUUUGGUUUUGAGCCACAAAUCUGGUUUAAUUAAUUGGAGUUUUCAGAUUUUUUUGUCGAGGUCAUCGGAUUCCGGUCAAGGCUUCAGUUUGGUUCUUGCCGAUAUAAAUUUGUGGAAUCAAAGCAUUGAGGUCCAAUUCUAAACUUUGCCCCAUCUUUAAUUCAUAGAUCUUUGUUAUUGAUGUUGGAUGGAAUAUUUGCUUGGUGUUUGUUUUCUUUUGUGAAUUACUGAUCCGAUGGGGUUAAUAAGGUUAAUUUGUGUAACAAUUACUUAGUGCUAAAAACCACGUUAAGUUUUUCAAUUUGCUUAAGAUCUAUAGGCUAAUUUCUAAAGAUAUGUUAAAUCGUGAUUAGGAAAUUUAGUAAAAGGGAUCGCAAGAUUGGGCUUUAUUUUUAUUACUUACUUCGUAAAUUGGAUUGGGUAGGCAAACAUUAGGUUUGUUUAAAUUGCAUGUGUGUUUUAUUCCUUUUGCUUGCUUUAUGUAUUGUGUAUUCAUUCCCGGGUGGGAUGUCCCGGAAGAAAAUCAAUGUAAAAAAUGGAGUCCGCUCUUGGAGAAGACCCUGGGAUGUCGGGGAUAGCUUAGUAUAGUUUAGCAUAGGGUAGUAUAGGUUUAUUUUCUCGCAUUUUUCUUUUAUUUCGGGUUGUAAUAAUUCAGACUUUAUUUUUUGAAUUUUUCUUAUGCACGUGCUUGUGUGAUUACUUGAGUUUACUUGACUGAGUUUCUAUUUAAGCCGAUACGAGUUAAUUAAAGAGACCGUGCUAAAACCACGAGACUCGAGGGAUGCCACACACCUUCCCCUCGGUCAACAGAAUUCCUUAACCGGAAUCUCUGUCGCUGAUUAGUUUUUAGAAUCAAACUUGUUUUGAAAGGGAUAUUGAUUUCAUGGUGACAUGGCAUACUAAAGCUCGAUGUCAGGCGGCGACUCUUUUUCUCUAAAUAAAAUUCCUUUUCAAACACAAUUUUCGUCACUUUCUAAUUGAAAACCCUUUGAACUUAACAGAAAAAUCAUUUUUGUGGGGAAAAAGGGGUGUGACAACCUCAUAAUUGAUUUACCACUUCGAACGUCCUAAAUUUCAAACUAGAAAACCUCUAACCAUUCGUGCGAUUAUCCCUUUCAUCCGAUCAACUCAACCGAGUAGUACACCAGUAGUAGUAGGAACUAACCGAAACUUACACAACAGGGACAAGACUCUCAAUCCAUUAUUAGAUGCAACACUCGAUAGCUCCCUGAGUACUAAAACUUCGCACUUGUCCAACACUAGCGUCAUUCUCAUUAGUCCACCACUGGCUCCCAUCGACCCACGGCACAACCAAACUUUUCAACUCAACACUGAACCCUCAUGUCAAUUCUACCCGGUAUGACUGCAACAUAACUCUCAAAUACUCUACCUCUUGAUUCCACGAUCCCUUUACCAUUCCUCUAAACAUGACAACCCAGUAAACAUACCCUUUACUGAAGGACAAGGACCACAACUGCUUUCUUGUAACGAUCCGUUUGGUCGUUAUAGCAUUUUUACCAUUUUUUCCCCUGUUGGCCCUUCCCCGAGCCUUGUUAGUAUUAUUUUGACACACAGGGACCGGUGGCACAGUUCCCUACUCAUCAUUUUGGGUUUUGGAAUGACUUUUAGAAAAUUUGGCCUUAAAGCGAAAAUCAUUUGACUCGAAGUUGACUUUAGGGUAACGUGCCUGUAAUUGAAGUUUGAUAGUUCCAUUAGGUUCGGAGGGUGAUCUAUGACUUAGUAGCAGGGUUGUGAAAAGCGAGCGCUUCUGCGCUUAAAGCGAAAAGCGAGGCGCAGCGCAGCCCUUGCGCUUUUCUGCUCUGAAGCGAGGCAUUGGUAAAUAAGCGCGCGCUUUAGCCCCAGAAGUGUGAAGCGAGGAAAGCGAGAAAAGCGCAAAAGCGUGCGCUUCAGCCCCUAGGGUUUUUUAAAUAAUUUUUUAAGUGUUUUAACUUAAAACACCAUUCCCGCUUUUAUUGGGACUCUUACGGCUACUGCUCCUCAACUCUUUACGCCUCUUUCAAGUCUCAAGGUUAGUUUUCUCUUCUUUUCUUCUCUCCCUUCUCUUCUCUUCCUCUUCUUAUUUUCUCUCUUUUACAUGCUGCUAUGCUGCUACGACUGCCAGUUUCUUUUUUAUUUUUUUAUUUUUUCAAUUCUUCAUUGGGUUGCUCUUUUUUCUCUUCUUCUUUUCUAUUAUUUUUCAGUUCUUCAACUGGGCUGCAAUUUUUUAUUUCUGUUUUAUAAUUUCUUUCACUGUUCUGCCCUGUUUUUGUCUCUGUUCUUCAAUUUUUUUCUGCUCUAUUUUUUUCAUCCCUGUUGACUGUUCUGAAAUUUAUUUUUUUGUUAUGAUUCUAGUAAGUUCUGUUUUUGAUUCACUGGGUUGCUCUUUUUUCUCUUCUUCUUUUCUAUUAUUUUUCAGUUCUUCAACUGGGCUGCAAUUUUUUAUCUCUGUUUUGUAAUUUUUUUGAUUGUUCUGCCCUGUUUUUGUCUCUGUUCUUCAAUUUUUUUCUGCUCUGUUUUUUUUCAUCCCUGUUGACUAUUCUGAAAUUUAUUUUUUGUUGUACUUGUAGUAAGUUUUGUUUUUUGAUUCAAUGGCAUCAAGCCAAAAAAAAGAUCCAACUUGGGCGUAUGAGGAUUAUUGAAUAUCUAGUUCUAGUAUCUAUUAUUUACUUCUUAAUUUAAGUUAUUUAUCUAUGCCUAUUUAAUAUUUUUUAUUUUUUUAUUAAACUGCGCUUCACAUGAAAAAAGCGCGCGCUUCGGUUCACGCUUCUCGCUUCGGUGAAGCGAGGCCUCGUCGCUUUUUUCCGCUUCUCACUAUCCAAAACCUUGCUUAGUAGUGUCAUUGGUUUGGUUCCCGAAGGGUUCGGGUGUGAUUUGGGUCAUUGGUUGAGAAACUGGUUAAGUUAGAAUUGGAGUUGACUAUGGUCAACAUCGAGUCAAGAUGAUCUCGUGUCGAUGUUUUGAAAGAUCCAAUAAGUUUGUAUGAUGAUUUUGGACAUGUCCACAAAGUUUGGUUAGAUUCCGAUGAGUUUUGGAUACGUUUGGGUUGUAUGGUGGUUGUUUUCGGUUUUGACGUCGAUUUGAGCAUAAAGGUUACCAUAUUUAGCAAACGGCCUUUGAUUCGUUUUUCGACUGAACCAUUAUAGCUGUAUUGUAAUUUCAUAACCAAAGCAACAAAAAUCAUCGAGUUUCUACUUCGUAUGAGGAAAUUAUGGUCAUUUUACUAAGAAUUGUGUUGAUAGAUUUUUCAGAUUAAUUACGAAAUUGCCACUGAAUUCGUAUUUAAAAAUAUGCAUUCUUCCAAAUAUUGAAACCACCAUAUCUCAUUCAUUAUAAGGUCAAAUGGAGUAAUUUAAAAGCCUAACUUGAGUGAACUUUCACAAGGAAUCCAUUGGAGGCAUCAAAAGCUAGCUUUUGGAUCAUUUAGCACCAGGAACGAGGCGAAACAGCUAGGCCUUUUGUCUAUGAAUGUUGCUUAGGGUUUCUCUCAUCUUGAAAGCAUGGGUUUGGAAGAAUUCAAGGAUGUUCUUUAAGUUUCUUCUAUGGGGAACAUUGAGGAUUAUGGAACAUAGUAAGUCACCUCUGAGCUGUGUGCGGAGGGGCUGAUAUGGAACACCGAUAUUGUGACACUUGUAGAUAAUUGGGUCCUCUGAGCUGUGUGCGGAGUGACAAUGCUUGGACUUCGUGGGUCUCCCAUGGGUUGUGCUGCCGAGGAGUGGAGAUAUUCCGCUCUCGGAGUGCAAGAGUACAGGCAUUGCAUUGCAUUCAUAUCUCAUAUGGCAUUGCUUGAUUAUGCUUCGUGGUUGAUGAUGAUUUGGAUAUGGUGUUGGUCAUAUUCUUGGACUGUAUUUGAUAUGGGCUACAUGUUGAUUUGUCUUGAUGGUACCUGGUUUUCUGUAUACUUGGAUAUUUACUGUAUUUGAUAUGGGCUACAUGUUGAUUUGUCUUGAUGGUACCUGGUUUUUUGUAUACUUGGAUAUUUGUUUCACUUGGGUUUAGUUGUUGCAUCAAGGUUUGAUUAUGUGAGUCGAUUUCUUAGAAGCAUGACCUGUAUUCUAAGGUUUGCUUGUUUUCUCUUACCUUGUUAUCUUUAUGUAUGUCUGUGAUGGUUCACUUUUUCGCGCGGGUUUAGGGCGCAAAAAGGCUACUACGAACUCGUUGGUGCUCUUUCGGACUUAUUUGAAAACUAGUCGCCACCUAAUUUUUAAGAAAUUAGGAAAACCGAUUUUGAAGGGUUUAUUCAAAUGCAGUGAAAAAAACCUUCGUAAUCUAGAGUUUUAUGUAAGAGUUCUGAUGAUCCCCUGGGGAAGGUGUUAGUCACCCCAUUAUUAAGGAUCCGUACUAGAUGGUUGACCUUUGAAUUCCAAUGUAGGAGUAUUUGCUUAAACUGCUUAUUUUGUGUUUAUUUUCUCGCGAAAGAACUAUCAUCAAUAAAUCGCAUAUCAUAUGUUCCUUUGAGAAAAA